rnacentral:rRNA from 1 species
UACGGAGGGAGCUAGCGUUGUUCGGAUAUACUGGGCGUAAAGCGCACGUAGGCGGCGCCGUAAGUCAGGGGUGAAAUCCCGGAGCUCAACUCCGGAACUGCCCUUGAAACUGCAGCGCUAGAAUCCUGGAGAGGCGAGUGGAAUUCCGAGUGUAGAGGUGAAAUUCGUAGAUAUUCGGAAGAACACCAGUGGCGAAGGCGACUCGCUGGACAGGUAUUGACGCUGAGGUGCGAAAGCGUGGGGAGCAAACAGG